CAUCUCUUCGCAUCUGAUCGUCGCUUAUACUCGGCGCAUUUGUUCUCCCUUUCUGUUCCCAACUUGCCGCCCUGCUUCAUCUCGCCGGAUUCCUCCCCCUUGUCCGGCGAUAUGACGAGGCUCGUCGCGCGGGCGUUUGUCCUCGCCUCCAGAUCUGCUCUUCGUCCUCCGCCGACGAUCUCGGCCGCUCUCCGGUCGCCACGGCCGGCGGCGGCUCUGACCGUCACGUCUCCUCUAACUCGUCCGGUUAUCCCUCAGCCGUCGUUCUUUUCCAAUGGUCCAGGGAACGGUUUCGUGGCUUCGUUGCGGGAAUCGCGCCUCGCGGGGCCUCUCAGAGGGUUCCUUGCGAACUCUAAUAGGGGGUACCGGAAGCCGAGGCGGAGGCCGGCGGCGAGGAGGCGGGCGCCGAAGGAGAAGCCUUUGGAACUCGAUGUCAAGAUCUGUAUCGAAGAAGAGUUGCCCGACGAUCCGGAAAUCAUGGCCAUUGCAGAGACACUGAGUUUGGAUGUUCCCAUGGCAAUGAAUGUUGCAUUUGAUAAUAUCGGAGCCUCGGAAUACAAAAGCAGGGAAGCUUCUAUAAACGACGUAAAUAAAUACGAAAAGAUUGAAUUGUCAAUAUUGCUUUGCAAUGAUGAUUUUAUCCAAAAACUAAACAAAGACUGGAGAGAUGAGGACCAUGCUACCGAUGUUCUUUCUAUGUCACAGCAUAUUCCUGAACUUGAUCUUCCUAUGCUGUUAUUAGGAGACAUAGUAAUUUCUGUUGAAACAGCUGCAAGACAAGCAGAGGAGAGAGGUCAUGCACUUCUUGACGAGAUAAGAAUCCUCAUGGUUCAUGGCUUAUUGCAUCUUCUGGGCUUUGAUCAUGAGAUUAGUGAUGAGGCAGAAGCAGAAAUGGAGAAGGAAGAGGAACUGAUUCUGAAGAAUCUUGAAUGGAAGGGAAAAGGUCUAAUAAAGAGUGCAUAUGAUGCCGUAGCUGAUGAAGUCCUUCAAGCAGAAAGUUCAAACGAAGCUGCUUUAUCUUGACAUGUCUGAGAGGGUUUCAUCUACCUCACAACCUUAUUGGUUUGAAGCAACAAGAAUCAUGCAAAUAUUGUCAAGGCACUGCCAGAUAUGCUUGAAAUCAUCCCCUCUGGAACUUCAAAAUGUUGUGGGGUAAAAGUGCUGCUGGAUCACCUUGGAAUUACCACAAAGAGAUCAUGAUCUGGCGAUGGAGAAAAUGAUAUUGAGAUGCUACAGCUAGCAUCGCUGGGCAUUGCACCUGGAAAUGGGUCGGAUAGGGCUAAAGCUGUGGCAGAUGUGAUUGGAGCUACCAAUUACCAGGAUGGUGCUGCAGAAGCUGUAUAACUCUGUGACAUAAAUCCUAGCAUAAGAUGUCGGAGGGUCAUGCCAUUUUUUUCGCUAGCGAGAUAUAUCGUGGCAUUUAACCAUGCUUCAAUUUUUGUAUGCUAAAUGGAAUGAUUGUAGCAGGAGAAAGAGCAAAAGAGAACUUUUUUAUUGGUUGAACCUCGAGUCAUUUGAGCUCUGUGGAAAAUUAACUAUUAUUUGGAGCUAAGAGUUGUUAUCAAGUUUUUUUUUUCUUUUUGGCAAAAGUAGAAAAGGAAAAUGGAAAUAUUGAGCAUUGAAAGA